AACUUUCAGCAACGGAUCUCUUGGUUCUGGCAUCGAUUAAGAACGCAGCGAAAUGCGAUAAGUAAUGCGAAUUGCAGAAUUCAGUGAGUCAUCGAAUCUUUGAACGCACAUUGCGCCCUGUGGUAUUCCGCAGGGCAUGCCUGUUCGAGCGUCAUUUCAACCCUCAAGCUCUGCUUGGUGUUGGGCCACGCCCUCGCGGCCGGCCCCAAAGCCAGUGGCGGCGCCGUCCGGCUCUAAGCGUAGUACAUCUCUCGCUCUAGGGCCCGGCGGCUGCCUGCCAGAACCCCAAACUCUUAUGGUUGACCUCGGAUCAGGUAGGGAUUCCCGCUGAACUUAAGCAUAUCAAUAAGCGGAGGC
rnacentral:misc_RNA from 1 species